rnacentral:rRNA from 1 species
GAUGAACGCUGGCGGCGUGCCUAAUACAUGCAAGUCGAGCGAACAGACGAGGAGCUUGCUCCUCUGACGUUAGCGGCGGACGGGUGAGUAACACGUGGAUAACCUACCUAUAAGACUGGGAUAACUUCGGGAAACCGGAGAUAAUAUCGGAUAAUAUAUUGAACCGCAUGGUUCAAUAGUGAAAGACGGUUUUGCUGUCACUUAUAGAUGGAUCCGCGCCGCAUUAGCUAGUUGGUAAGGUAACGGCUUACCAAGGCGACGAUGCGUAGCCGAUCUGAGAGGGUGAUCGGCCACACUGGAACUGAGACACGGUCCAGACUCCUACGGGAGGCAGCAGUAGGGAAUCUUCCGCAAUGGGCGAAAGCCUGACGGAGCAACGCCGCGUGAGUGAUGAAGGUCUUCGGAUCGUAAAACUCUGUUAUUAGGGAAGAACAAAUGUGUAAGUAACUAUGCACGUCUUGACGGUACCUAAUCAGAAAGCCACGGCUAACUACGUG